CGGUGAAAUGCGCAGAUAUCGGGAGGAACACCUAUGGCGAAGGCAGCUCGCUGGGACGUUACUGACGCUGAGACGCGAAAGCGUGGGGAGCAAACAGGAUUAGAUACCCUGGUAGUCCAUCGCCGUAAACGAUGGGCACUAGGUGUGGGAGGNGAAGACUCCUCCCUUNCCUUUUCUNACGC
rnacentral:rRNA from 1 species